CUGAAGUCUUUAAUAAUGCUGGAGAGUGAGGCCUUGUCUACCCUACAGGGGAAAUUCAAUCUAAGCUAUGCAAUAUGAGUUACAUGAAUAGUGUAACUCAAGUCUACAUAGCUUAGUCUACUUACUGUGGGGUACACGCUAUGCGAUAUUGAUGGGAGACCCUCU